GCUGGUGGCAGAGCAUUCUGCACAGUUUGACGAAGAGAAUGACGUGGUUGUUACCUUUGUUACCCACGCCCUCCAAAAACACAAAACAAGGAAGUUAUAGCUUUACUACUCUUUUCUGAAAUAGUGAAACAGAAAGCAGUAGGCUAAGGUCCUUUAAACAUCACUAGUGGUAAAUGUUAGUGACUGACGGGUAAAGUGGUAUUAAGUCACCUGCAAGCUGAACUCCUAGGAAUUUUAGUUGCAAACUAUAUCCAAAACACCUUUGUCGUGAGGAAAUUAUAAUUAGUUCGACUCCUUAUCGGUGUCAAUUGGUAAUCCACAAAAUGACGGGAGAAAGUAAUGGAGCGCCAAACAUCAUGUCCUACAGGGACGCAGUGAAGACUCACCUACCUCCUCAGCGCACAACAGCGCCAUCUGUGAACGUCAACCGGGCCAACCUGAAAGCCCAGCUGCGUAACCUGUUGAAGAGACACCCAGAGGGUAUGCUGCUGACCCGGCUUCGGAGGACCUGCCCGCUUCUCUUCCAUUCAGAGACCCUGAGCUCCUAUGCGUCCACUACAGAGCUCUUGAGCUCGAUGGGGGAUGUGUUACGAAUGCAGGGUGUCGGGGUUCAGACCCGUAUCUAUCCUGCUGGCAUGUAGGCUGGGCCAUACGGCUGCAAUACGGGGACCAAAGAGUAGCUCAUUGGAGUAGUCGAAUAACUUGCAUCAGCACUUUGUGAAUCACACUGGCCAGGGACACCUGGUUAGUGCGAUUCAAAAAAUAUUUAAAAAGACAGAUACAAUUGGGGAAACACCUGGUGACCUGGUCAGUAUACCUGUCUAAUGAGUGACCAAAUUACAACGAUGAUAGCAUUUAUGUAUCAACACAGAGGUAUUACCCUGAAAGUAAACAAUAUAAUAAUUUACUUUUUUUGGUGCAUUGUAGAGUGUGGUAUGUGACUGAGUGUGACUUUCAAAACGUUCACAUUUUUUGUUAGAAAUCAAUAUUUAAUACCGGGUAAAGAAUAUUUUGGGUUGAAUCAAAUCUAAAGUCGUAUUUACACUCGGUACAUUUGAUACAAACACAUUUAUAUAUAUAUAUACAUAUCAACAUACAUAUAUUGACUUGUAUUUCAUCAAUAAUGCAUUUUAGUGAUUGGCAUUUCUUAUGUUGCCAUGUAUUUGAUACAAAUGUUUGUAAACAAGGAUUUUAAUACCUUUGAUAUCUACAAAUGUUCAAAUAUUCCAUACACCAAAUCAACCAAAACAAAAUGUAAUGGAAUGUGGUGUAGGUGAUGACAUUUAAUAGUGAAUACCGUAUAUAAAAAAUAAAAUGAUUAUACACAUCUGUCA
rnacentral:lncRNA from 1 species